rnacentral:rRNA from 1 species
GAUGAACGCUGGCGGCGUGCCUAAUACAUGCCAGUCGAGCGAACAGACGAGGAGCUUGCUCCUCUGACGUUAGCGGCGGACGGGUGAGUAACACGUGGAUAACCUACCUAUAAGACUGGGAUAACUUCGGGAAACCGGAGCUAAUACCGGAUAAUAUAUUGAACCGCAUGGUUCAAUAGUGAAAGACGGUUUUGCUGUCACUUAUAGAUGGAUCCGCGCCGCAUUAGCUAGUUGGUAAGGUAACGGCUUACCAAGGCGACGAUGCGUAGCCGACCUGAGAGGGUGAUCGGCCACACUGGAACUGAGACACGGUCCAGACUCCUACGGGAGGCAGCAGUAGGGAAUCUUCCGCAAUGGGCGAAAGCCUGACGGAGCAACGCCGCGUGAGUGAUGAAGGUCUUCGGAUCAUAAAACUCUGUUAUUAGGGAAGAACAAAUGUGUAAGUAACUAUGCACGUCUUGACGGUACCUAAUCAGAAAGCCACGGCUAACUACGUG